UCCAGGUCGGUUUCUAUCUAUGUAAACGCCCCACCUAGUACGAAAGGAGCGGUGAAGCAAAGCCAAUACUACAAGCACGCUUUAAUAUAAAACUAACCCACUAACAUAAAACUAACCCACCCUAAACCAAGAAAAGGUUAAUUAAGAACCACCUUAAUACAUC
rnacentral:rRNA from 1 species